AUACGUAGGGGGCGAGCGUUGUCCGGAAUGACUGGGCGUAAAGCGUGCGUAGGCGGCCUUGCGCGUCUGGGGUUUAAGACCACGGCUCAACCGUGGGGGUGCCUUGGAAACGGUGAGGCUUGAGUGCUGGAGAGGCAAGGGGAAUUCCACGUGUAGCGGUGAAAUGCGUAGAGAUGUGGAGGAAUACCUGUGGCGAAGGCGCCUUGCUGGACAGUGACUGACGCUGAGGCACGAAAGCGUGGGGAGCAAACAGGAUUAGAUACCCUGGUAGUCCACGCCGUAAACGAUGAGUGCUAGGUGUUGGGGGUGCGAGCCCUCAGUGCCGAAGGAAACCCAAUAAGCACUCCGCCUGGGGAGUACGGUCGCAAGACUGAA
rnacentral:rRNA from 1 species